rnacentral:lncRNA from 1 species
UCGAAUAUAAUUUUGUAUAUUAAUGAGUAAUGCAUGUGUUGAAUUGAUGGAAUGGAGAGGAUGUUUUAAUAGUGCAUAUAUGUGUAUUAGCCAAGUUUUGAACUUGAAACAAAAUGGUAUUUGGUCAAUACAAGUGACCAUACUUGUAGAAUGUAUUAAGUAUGCAAUCGGCCUCAACAUAGACAUGCAUGUUCGGCCACACGAAUGAAUGCAUAGAUUGAUGUUGUACAUU